rnacentral:rRNA from 1 species
GACGAACGCUGGCGGCGUGCUUAACACAUGCAAGUCGAACGGAAAGGCCCUGCUUUUGUGGGGUGCUCGAGUGGCGAACGGGUGAGUAACACGUGAGUAACCUGCCCUUGACUUUGGGAUAACUUCAGGAAACUGGGGCUAAUACCGGAUAGGAGCUCCUGCUGCAUGGUGGGGGUUGGAAAGUUUCGGCGGUUGGGGAUGGACUCGCGGCUUAUCAGCUUGUUGGUGGGGUAGUGGCUUACCAAGGCUUUGACGGGUAGCCGGCCUGAGAGGGUGACCGGCCAAAAUGGGAAUGGGAUACGGCCCAGACUCCUACGGGAGGCAGCAGUGGGGAAUAUUGCACAAUGGGCGGAAGCCUGAUGCAGCAACGCCGCGUGCGGGAUGACGGCCUUCGGGUUGUAAACCGCUUUCGCCUGUGACGAAGCGUGAGUGACGGUAAUGGGUAAAGAAACACCGGCUAACUACGU